rnacentral:rRNA from 1 species
AGGAAAGCCUUGGCCUCCUUUCUUCACUUUGCAAGCUGGGAGAUUUGGAAGGAGCGAAAUGCACGCGUAUUCAGAACCAAGGCGGCACCGGUGGCGGUGAUCGUGCGAACUAUUAAAGAGGAGGCGUCUAUCUGGGCUCCGGCGGGCGCCAGUCAUUUAUGUAAUUCAAUGCCGUGAGAGUAG